AAACUUAAAUACCAUAGAUAAAAAUUAACAAAAAUUAACAGUACAUUAUAUUAUGACUUACAAAUCACAUCCUUAUAUCACUUAAACUUUCAAAACCACCAACGACAAACAAAGGCCAGCUUACCAAAGUAUUGCCUGCAGUGCCAAUUACAUUUAUACCUUCAGUUAAUUAAAAAUAAACAAAUCUAACAACACAGAGCGAAGCAGUGCCAAUUACAAAUAACACAAUACAAUUCAAUUGCACACAAAGCCCAUUUUAAGAGGCUAAUCACAGAUAAUCUAAUAAUGCACCUCCUUAAUGACGCAAGGAUGAUCGUCUCUUCUUAGAUAUUAAUCCAAGGGCCAAAUCAAUUAAUCAAGUGGCAGUCUAGCAAUUUCAGAUGUGAGGCAGUCAAAAGUGAUCACUCAGCACCCAAUAGAAUACCCUCCAUGAUUUUCUCAUUUACCAAGAGCACGCAUCUGCAAUAGAGCCUCAGGAAGGUAGUAGCAUAUCAGGAUGAAACUCUGAGUCAUCCCUAUAUUACCUACUCAACAUCAGUCAUACACCACAUUGCCCAGGAUACUCAAAGACCAAAAUCUUGAUGGGAAUUUUAAAAUAUAAUUCUUCAUAGAGAGAGAGUCUGGAAGACAACCUAGUACAGUGAUGAGAGAUAAAUUUUGGUCAUCCUGGAAGAAAAUUCUGACUGACCUUAAACAUGGAGAUCCAGGGUUUAAACUUUCAGAGUCUCUCGACCAUCUAAAUUGCUCAAAAAGUUCAAAGAAACCGAAACGCCCAUUAUGAAAGCAACAUCUUAACCAGGCAUUCACAAGAUAAUAAAGAUUGAAUUCUACAUUGGAAGGCAUUUUAAAUGAAAUACAUAUGCAAAUGUAAAUCGCAAAUUUCAGGUGAAGUUUGUGCAAAGCAGUUGGAGAUUUUGACUCAACUGCCAUAGAAAAUCACAGAAAAGUAAAUUCGGAGAUGGAUGCUCUUCUCCUCUAGGAGAAUAAAAUACAAGAAAUACACGCUCCAAGACUACCAUCUAGUUUUCAGCCUUCUUACCAAUAUCCUCCUCAGUUGAAGCAUGUAUUUCCUCAUCUUUUUCUUCAACCUUGGGAUCUUGGACCUCUUCAGCAUUUCCUGGGCUAUCCUGAAGCCCCAAAUUCUUCAGGCUAGUAGUAACGUCUUCUUGUUGCUGCUGGAGUGUAUUCCUAAGCACUUGAAAUUCUGAUCGAAGUUGCUCCACCUCAACAUUCAAUGAUUUCUUCAGUUCUGACAACUCCUGCACAAAGAAAAAAUAUAGAAGGGACUCACUCCAACGAAACUAAGCCUCAAUACCAAAUUCCCAACUAGUGGGAUGAAAUACAUAUUAUCAGAGAUGACCAGUCCAGAGAAAUAAAGAAAUCAAUGACAUUCAUUUUUACUUGACCUAGUUUUAAUAUUAAAUAAAUCAAUGCCAAGUUUGUAAAACCACAUUGAAAGAAAAGGGAACACAAGAGCAACAGAGGGUGAAACUCUGCUUUUCAUCCCAUAAAAUAGUGCAUCCACUCCGGAUUCAAACAUUACCAAGAAAAUUGGUGCAUAUGGCAGUUUAUCUCUAGCAAUGCUGAUUGUUGCACAUCAAGCAAUUUCGUGCGUAUUGACAUAGAAAUUUUUACUGAAUAAACUAAGCUGAGAAUUCCAGCAAACUCACACACCCAGGCAAGUAUUUAAUGGUGAAACCCUUUACAUAAACUCCAUCCUGAUAUACAGGCAUGGUACCAGAAGAAAACUACUUCAGAAACUUAGAAUUAUUUUGUGCAAAAGAAAUAUUUAGGAUCCAUAGGCUAGUAAAAAAAGAACCAAGUCCGUUGAGCCAAGCCACAAAAGAAGAAGUAAAACUCUAGAUGGACCGCCGCAUGCAGCUCAAGUAACAAUUGAAUAUAAAACUUAAGUCAAGUCUAGUUGCAUUUGAGGGGAGUGUUUGAGUCCCACAUCAGAAAAUAACAAGAAAGAAAUUGGAAGUGAAUAUAUAGCAAGGAGACCCAUGUUAAAUUGGUUUAAGCCAUUUUGAUGGAAGCAACCCGAGGUGAAACAACUAACAACUAAAUCAUGGUGAUAGCCUUUAGCACUCUCUGCAUAAGAGAAAAUUUCACAAUCACUAACCAACUCAACCUAAAUAGAGUGCCUAUAUUAUCUUAUAAAGAGUUCUAGAGAUUUAACCAAGGCCAUGGUUACCCCUGAUUCCUGACUACAGAGCCUGACAAUAUUGCUUAGUUGCAAGCCACCAGGCAUUAUUAAUCCUGCCAACUUAUAAAAGUUUUCCAAUCAAUUGUCACAAAUUCUUACAAGGUCUACGCUACAUCACCAAGUUUUCAAUCUCCAAGUUCAUAUUAUUGUGAUCAAUUCAUCCUUAGUAGUUCAUGCAAGUGCAAUUCGUACCCUGCCAUCACUGACGUUAUUCUCUAAUUUCCAUCAAAAAGUAGAAGCAUCAGAAUUCAGAAUAUUCAAAACCAAAGCAUCAGAAUUCAGAAUAUUCAAAACCAAUCUACAAUAGUCAAGACAGAUACACAAGCAACACUUA
rnacentral:misc_RNA from 1 species